rnacentral:rRNA from 1 species
GAUGAACGCUGGCGGCGUGCCUAAUACAUGCAAGUCGAGCGAACGGACGAGAAGCUUGCUUCUCUGAUGUUAGCGGCGGACGGGUGAGUCACACGUGGAUAACCUACCUAUAAGACUGGGAUCACUUCGGGACACCGUAGCUAAUACCGGAUAAUAUUUUGAACCGCAUGGUUCAAAAGUGAAAGACGGUCUUGCUGUCACUUAUAGAUGGAUCCGCGCUGCAUUAGCUAGUUGGUAAGGUAACGGCUUACCAAGGCAACGAUGCCUAGCCGACGUGAGAGGGGGGUCGGCCGCCCGGGAACGUAGACACGGUCCAGAGUCCUAAGGGAGGCAGCAGUAGGGAAUCGUCCGCAAUGGGCGAAAGCCUGACGGAGCAACGCCGCGUGAGUGAUGAAGGUCUUCGGAUCGUAAAACUCUGUUAUUAGGGAAGAACAUAUGUGUAAGUAACUGUGCACAUCUUGACGGUACCUAAUCAGAAAGCCACGGCUAACUACGUG